rnacentral:lncRNA from 1 species
GCUAGACAUUAAAAGAUAUUUGUACUACCAUGUUCGAACCACAAAAAACUGUAGUGGUUGUUCGAAAUGCCAAGUAGAAGUCAAGCGGCUCCCUCUGGUGGCCGAUUCAUGAUUUCCACAACACAUUCCGCAGUUUAGUCCCUAAAAGACGAUGACGAUGACGAUGACGAUGACGAAUUAUGGCGACCCGCCUGCAUCAAGAAACAUGGCGAAACAAAUUGUUGCUAUUUUAUACUUAUUUUUCUGUGAUUCCAAAUACCGAAUUGAACUUCGUUUGUAAAGUCUGUCAGUCGUCAUUCCAACAAGUUGACUUGCUCAGUCCUUUCCAUCCAUUAGAUCCUUAUGCUGUAAAAACUCAAAAGCCGGAAACUCAUAUUUGAAGCCCACAUACAGUGGAAAUGGAUAAAUGUGCCGAGAUGAGAUGUAUUUUUGCUCAUGAACCAUAGGAUCUAUUCCAAAUCUUGUGAUUUUGAUAGUGUAUCCUGUGACUGCAUGUUUGUUAUUACGUCUUCUACAUCCAUUUAUAAGGCAACCUAGCUUAGAGAUAUGUAGAGAGUUCCAGUUUCAGUGACGUGAAGAAUGUGAAGUCUGCUUGAUGAAGUCAAAUGCCUUACUGAGUUUGUCACCCAAAUGAUAAAGCAUCAUUAUCACCUUUUACCACGCUACUACGAGUUACUGACUGAGAAGUUGCACACACCUGCAGUCACUCGCCACAGGAUUAUGCCCAGGUAACCGACAAUUGAGUUUAUUCCGUAGAUUGUCUACUAAUAAUCUACUUGCGUUAAACUCUGUGUCUAAUCGUUUUUGUUUGUUUUUUUUCGCACAAACGGCCUCAAAUCGUUGAAAGAAUUCUCUCUGUAAGUGCCAACCCUCCGUGCGUGUCCCGCUGAGAAGAAAUGGCAACCAAAGCCCGCAACAUGGGCAUAGAUGGUAAAAACCGUCAGGGAUGUCGCGCGUCACAGAGGAGUGAAGAUAGCUUGGAACUUAAGUACGACAAAGCAUUACCACGAGAGGAACGAAAAAGCUGCUGCUAGACGGGGAAAGCUGCUGGAGUAAUCUGGUAUUUAUGCUCAUUUGAUUCAUUUCGUGCCAGCUAGUGAAAGCUGAAAGACAUGUCGAAUUCAAGUUGAACUGCUGCGUGCUGUCUGGAAGCAAGCAAUCGAGCCGUUGCGUUCAGUCAUUGAACAGGAAUCUAAUGGCUGUCAAUAGGUGGUUGAAAUUAUGUCCGCCAGAUAGCGCGAGUAUCUUCAGAAUUUUCUCAUAGCGGCCAUUUUGUUCCAAGGCGCAGCAGAGAUGGGUUGCUGCCUUGCUGGUCGUGACGUUUCUCACGAUGAAAAUUAAAAGGUGAUUUAGCAUGUAGAAACGAAUUUGCCAAAUCAUUCAACUCAGACUUGGAAGUGCCUGUACAUUCCCGAAAUGGCGUGCCUCGUGUGUUUCGCUGCCUAUUCCUAUUCUUAUAGGCCUACGUCUCAUCCCAUGCAACAACGAAAAGUUUGACAAACACUUCUUUAACGCUGUUGGUUACCUUGUUGCAGCCAAAUGGUGAAAGGUGUGACGAAGACAGAUGGAACCAUUGUAUGCAGCAUGCGGUUGCUGUGAUAUUCAGAAGUAGCUGUGCUGGUGUUAUCCUGAAAUUGCUGUG